rnacentral:rRNA from 1 species
AGAGUUUGAUCAUGGCUCAGGACGAACGCUGGCGGCGUGCCUAAUACAUGCAAGUCGAGCGAAUCUUUAGGAGCUUGCUCCUGAAGGUUAGCGGCGGACGGGUGAGUAACACGUGGGCAACCUGCCUAUAAGACUGGGAUAACUUCGGGAAACCGGAGCUAAUACCGGAUAAUCCUUUUCCUCUCAUGAGGGAAAGCUGAAAGACGGUUUCGGCUGUCACUUAUAGAUGGGCCCGCGGCGCAUUAGCUAGUUGGUGAGGUAACGGCUCACCAAGGCGACGAUGCGUAGCCGACCUGAGAGGGUGAUCGGCCACACUGGGACUGAGACACGGCCCAGACUCCUACGGGAGGCAGCAGUAGGGAAUCUUCCGCAAUGGACGAAAGUCUGACGGAGCAACGCCGCGUGAGCGAUGAAGGCCUUCGGGUCGUAAAGCUCUGUUGUUAGGGAAGAACAAGUAUCGGAGUAACUGCCGGUACCUUGACGGUACCUAACCAGAAAGCCACGGCUAACUACGUGCCAGCAGCCGCGGUAAUACGUAGGUGGCAAGCGUUGUCCGGAAUUAUUGGGCGUAAAGCGCGCGCAGGCGGUCCUUUAAGUCUGAUGUGAAAGCCCACGGCUCAACCGUGGAGGGUCAUUGGAAACUGGGGGACUUGAGUACAGAAGAGGAAAGUGGAAUUCCACGUGUAGCGGUGAAAUGCGUAGAGAUGUGGAGGAACACCAGUGGCGAAGGCGACUUUCUGGUCUGUAACUGACGCUGAGGCGCGAAAGCGUGGGGAGCAAACAGGAUUAGAU